GGGGAUAUGGUGGAAUUGGUAGACACGCUGUCUUGAGGGGGCAGUGGCUAACGCCGUGAGAGUUCGAGUCUCUCUAUCCCCACCA
rnacentral:tRNA from 1 species